rnacentral:lncRNA from 1 species
CCUCUGAACUCUGUUCCAGAAGCUGAUGAAAAUUUAUUGGGAGGUGAGCUCAUGUCAUUUAGGAAGUAGCUUUUCCUGGGUAAGUACUGCCCUGAGAGUGUGCUCAGGUUACAGUUCAUGAUUUAAAUGCUUGGUUUCACUUGGUUUGAGAUCAAGCAAAUUGAGGAACUUUGUUUAAAAUUCUCUACCCUCAAAUUCCAGUGUCUCAGCUGAUGUAUUUAAGAAUCAAAUUUCCCUCUGGUUUGUGGUGUUGGAGACAGUCUGGGUGCAGUGCUGAAAUGUUGGAUACUGCGGGGUGUUAUGGUUGGAAUGGGUCAAAAAUACAUCAAUAUAGGGGAUGAAGCAUGAAGUAAAGAGGGAUCCUGACACUGGAACAUCCCACUGAAUGUGGAAUCAUCACCGACUGGGAUGACGUGGGAAAGGGCAUGGAGCUUCCUGAUGGACAGGGGAAGGAAUUCACCACUGGGAAUGAAUGGUGCUGAUGCCCAGGAGUAUUUUGCUUGUAUAAUUACCAUGCUGAGGUUACAAAGGAGGACAUUCCAGAAAACAACAGUCCUGACACAAACAAAACCAGAAUUGUAACACGGUGACAACAAGCAAUGAAAGGCGCAAGCUUUGAGGUGAAUUAAGUUCGUGAAGGUGGAAGCCAAGCCCAGCGACAUCAGAGGCUGCUGUGGAGGAGAAUUAAAUUAACAGGGUAAAAUAUCUCCUGUUUAAGGUUGGCCUCAGGCAAGAAUGAGUUUGUCAGUGUAAUAUGUUGUUGAAUUUUAAUAUGGAAAUGUCUCCUGGCAUGUAUUUCGAACACACUACAAACAGUGAUAUUGAUCUAACCUUCAAUUAAUGGGAGAGGUCCUCUGUGAAAAUUGGAUCUGGGUUUGAAUGGCAAAUAGGUUUAAUAUUCUGAUGACAGUGGAUCAUUUGCACAGCUCAGUAAGGACUAUAAAUCACCAGGAUUAGGGCUUUUUUUUUUUAUUAUCAUUUUAAUGCAGGCUUGUUUUCCCUGGAGCAAGGGGCCAGGAGUGUGGUAAAUCAUUAAAAAAUCAUGGAGCUGGUGUCAGUAGGUAUGGACAACAAAUAAUCUACUUGUGCUAAAUGAAUUAUUUGAAAUCCAUUCACUCCUGCUCUCUGUUGCUGUGUUUUUUAGAUGUGUGCUCUCUUUUGGGAUAGAAUGAUUGCUCUCCCUUUAG